GGCGCCAUGGCCAAGUGGUAAGGCAAGAGUCUGCAAAACUCAUAUCCUCAGUUCGAUUCUGAGUGGCGCCUCCA
rnacentral:tRNA from 1 species